rnacentral:rRNA from 1 species
GCAAGUCGAACGGUAACAUAAGGAGCUUGCUCCUUGAUGACGAGUGGCGGACGGGUGAGUAACGCGUAGGGAUCUACCUUCUGGUGGGGGAUAGCCCGGAGAAAUCCGGAUUAAUACCGCAUAAGACCUAAGGGUGAAAAGGGGCCAAUUCUUGAAAGCUCUUGCCGGAAGAUGAACCUGCGUUAGAUUAGCUAGUUGGUGGGGUAAAGGCCUACCAAGGCUGCGAUGGUUAGCUGGUCUGAGAGGAUGAUC